GCUGAGUACAAAAUGCGAGCUGUGAGCUACAGAUUAGCAACAGCAGGAUGACUGUUUGUUACCAGAACUCGUUAUCAAUCCCAACAGGUAACGGAAUUCCGGUUCGGAUUGCCGGUCGGUUCUGAUUUAUAAACCAAUUGUCACUGGAUCCAAAGCAUAAAAAGUGAGUGCGGAGCAGAACUCGGAGUAGCUCCUGUUCCGGGAACAGCCCGACGCUGAGUACUCUCCUAGUGCGCAGUGGACGGAGUCAAUCCAAAUGUUCGUGACCAGAGCAGAUUCCCGAAGGAAGCAACAUGACCCGGCCAGGUAAAUACAUUCCUGAAGAAGGGCUCAUGCCCGAAACCUCGAUUCUCCUGCUCCCUGGAUGCUGCCUGACCUGCUGCGCUUUUCCAGCAACACAUUUUUCAGCACGAAUCGGACAUUAUUAGAGAAUGGGAAACUAGUUGGACACCAAGAACAAACAGGGAGCAAGAGAGAGAGGGAGAGCUGCAGGAAAGGACAUUAGUGAAUCAGAUUUAAAUAUACAGAGAAAAUAGUGAAUACUUCAGAGCCAUGAUGGCAUUCGCCUGUCUACAUAAGUCCCGCCAGACCCGCUAAACAAGAAAAAUCAAUUCCCAGUCAAAAUAUUUUAAAGCACGACGCACUUAUUGAUUAGACUCAAUGGCCGAUGAAUUUUUCUGUGCAGUAGAUCUGACUUUUCAACACAUGGCCCACAGACUUGACACCGUAUUUCUCACUAAGGAUCACCUCACAAAGACUUGGACAGAGGAACGAUGGAAUUGAAACUGUCAGAGCAAUAUAGCUUCCACACUUGGAGUUGAUGCUGAUUCUCAGUAUUUAAAGUGGCAAAGCUUGUUUAUCAUCAUAUAUUACUGAUACAAUGUGUUUGCAAAUUGGAUAAACCAUUUAUCAAUGA